rnacentral:rRNA from 1 species
CCCUUAGAUGUUCUGGGCCGCACGCGCGCUACACUGAUGCAUUCAACAAGCCUAGCCUUGACCGAGAGGUCCGGGUAAUCUUUGAAACUGCAUCGUGAUGGGGCUAGAUUAUUGCAAUUAUUAAUCUUCAACGAGGAAUGCCUAGUAAGCGUGAUUCAUCAAAUCGCGUUGAUUACGUCCCUGCCCUUUUUACACACCGCCCGUCGCUCCUACCGAUUGAAUGUGUUGGUGAGGAGCUCGGAUUGGCAGCAGUUGGUGGUUCGCCACCGGCUAUUGCUGAGAAGUCCUCCAAACCGCCCCAUUUAGAGGAAGGAGAAGUCGUAACA